CCUGAUGACCAUAGCAAGUCGGUCCCACCCCUUCCCAUCCCGAACAGGACCGUGAAACGACUUUGCGCCGAUGAUAGUGCUGCAACCAGUGUGAAAGUAGGUCCCUUCCCAU
rnacentral:rRNA from 1 species